AAAGAUUGUGUCAUAGCCAAAAACGCGAACUCUCCCACAAUUUAUCUAAUCACGGGGGAAUUUUUUCAUUCUCUUCAUCUGCCUCACCCCGCAUUCCGAUUUUAUGUUUUACGUCUAUCAAAUCAUUCUCCGAUCCGCUCUAAUCAGAUAACAACGAUUUAUUCUUAUCACCCUCUCGCACAUACCCUGUCGUCUUACUCAUUAUGUACACCUCUUCGACAAGGAGAACACUUGAGUACAGUACAGUGCUUGAGAAAAUCAGUUCAUUUCCAUCGAUCGUACCUGGAGGAUCUCAAGAAAUUCAACCGGCAACUCCCUCCAUUUAUCUCUUUAGUUCACAGUUCAAUAAGAUUUAUUAAUUUUUUACAUCAAAAUGGGAUGCUGUUGUAGUACAUCUGAUCAAGCUGAUAUUACGCCAACACCACCAAUGGCUCCUGGGGAUGAUCCUGCACCACGGCCUCCGAUGCACGACUUCCCCACACCAGCAGCUGCAAGUAACGACGAACACUCGAGAUACUGACACCCUGUAUAGCUUGUAAAUCAUCAAAAUAAGAAAAAUUAUUCUUACCUGUUAA